rnacentral:rRNA from 1 species
GACGAACGCUGGCGGCGUGCCUAACACAUGCAAGUCGAGCGAGUGAAUCUCCUUCGGGAGUGAAGCUAGCGGCGGACGGGUGAGUAACACGUGGGCAACCUGCCUCAUAGAGGGGAAUAGCCUUCCGAAAGGAAGAUUAAUACCGCAUAAGAUUGUAGCUUCGCAUGAAGUAGCAAUUAAAGGAGCAAUCCGCUAUGAGAUGGGCCCGCGGCGCAUUAGCUAGUUGGUGAGGUAACGGCUCACCAAGGCGACGAUGCGUGGCCGACCUGAGGGGUGGAUCGGCCACAGUGGGACUGAGACACGGCCCAGACUCCUACGGGAGGAAGCAGUGGGGAAUAUUGCAAAAUGGGGGAAACCCUGAUGCAGCAACGCCGCGUGAGUGAUGACGGCCUUCGGGUUGUAAAGCUCUGUCUUCAGGGACGAUAAUGACGGUACCUGAGGAGGAAGCCACGGCUAACUACGUGCCAGCCGCCGCGGUAACAC